rnacentral:lncRNA from 1 species
AUGAACUUUGUGCUCCCACGGCGCGGCCCAAAACCAAAGGGCUCAAUGUCUCCCCCUGGCGGCGGAGGGCGGCGCUGCAGCUCCUGCUCUGCUCGGAUCCACAGAGUCCCGUUAUGGGGGUGGGGGGUUCAUUGCGGGGGGGGGGGGUUUAUUUGGGGUCCCCCCCCCUCCUCAGCUCUUUUCUUUUUGCUUUUUUUUUUUUGUCCUUUUUUCCCAUUUUUUCCUCACAUUUUUUGCUUUUUUUUCAUGUUUUUUUUUCUCCUUUUUUUCCUCGUUUUUUUUCCUCUUUUUUUGAUCCAUUUUUCCUCCAUUUUUGAUGCAUUUUCUGCUCCUUCUUUUCCCUUUUUCUUCCUCUUUUUUUUUGCUCCUUUUUCUCCAUUUUGCCUUUUUCCACCUUUUUUCCUCUUUUUUUUCUCCUAUUUUCUCCAUUUUUGCUUUAUUUUCCUCCAUUUUCUCCUUUUUUUCCUCUUUUUCUCCUCCUAUUUUCUCCAUUUUUCUUCAUUUUCCUCCAUUUUCUCCUUUCUUUCCUCCUUUUUGCCUCCAUUUUUCCUCCAUUUUCUUCCAUUUUUUCUCCUUCUUUUCACUCUUUUUCCUUUUUUCCUCCUUUUUUCCCUCCUUUUUUCCCUUUUUUCCCCAUUUUCCCCCCUUUUUCCUGCUUUUUUCCUCCAUUUUUCCUCUUUUUUAUCCCCGAUUUUUCUUCCUUUUUUCCUCUUCUUUCCCAUUUUCUCCUUUUUUUCCCUCCUUUUUUUCUCUUUUUUUCUCCUUCUUUUCCCCAUUUUCCUUUAUUUUUUCUCCUAUUUCUUUCAUAUUUUCUCCCUUUUUCCCCAUUUCCUCCUUUUUUUCCUCUUUUUUUCCUUCUAUUUUCUCCUUCUUUCCUCUUUUUCCCCCAUUUUUUCCUCCAUUUUUUCUUCACCUUUUCCCAUUUCUCUCAAUUUUCCCCCUCUUUCCCCCCCAAUUCUCCUUUUUAUCUCAUUUUCUCCCUCUUUUCUCUUUUUUCUCCUAUUUCCUCCUAUUUUCCUGCUUUUUUUUCUCUAUUUUUCCUCCAUUUUUUCUCCUCCUUUUUCCCUUUUCCUCCUUUUUUUCUUUUUUCCUCAUUUUUCCACCAUUUUCUCCUUUUUCCCUCUUUUUUUGCUCCUGUUUUUACCUAUUUCCUCAUUUUCCCCCUUUCCCCCUUUUUUCCCCAUUUCUUCUUCCUUUUCCCCCUUUUUUCCGAUUUUCCCCCUUCUUUCCCUUUUUUCCCCUCCAUUUUUCCACCAUUUUCUCCCUUUUCCUCCAUUUUCUCCUUCUUUUCCUCUUUUUUCUCCUUUUUUUUCCUCCUUAUUCCCCCUUUUCUACUCAUUUUUGACCCCCCAUCCUCUUUUUUGGUCCCAUUUUCCCCCUUUUUUGCCCCAUUUUGUCCCUUUUUCCUCCUUUCUUUUCACCUCUUCCCUCUUUUCUAAUUCUUUUUUCCUACAUUUUUCCCCAUUUUUGCCCUUUUUCCUCCCUUUUUUCCUCCAUUUUUGCUCUUUUUCUUCUCCUUUUUCCCACUUCUUUUUUCCACCCCCCCCCUUUUUAAAUCUCUUUUUCCCAAUUUUCUUUCCCCUUUCCCCCCCAUUUCCCUCCUUUUUUUUCUUUUUUCCUCCAUUUUCCUCCAUUUUUUCUCCUUCUUUUCACUUUUUUUCCUUUUUCCUCCUUUUUUCCUCCGUUUUUCUCCCUUUUUCCCCUCAAUUUUCCUCCUUUUUUUCCCUCCUUUUCACCCAUUUUUCUCCUUUUUCCCCCCUUUUCUCCUUUUUCUCUCCCUUUUUUUUUCACUUUUUUCUCCUUUUUUUUCUCAUUUCUUCCCUUUUUUCUUCCCUUCUUCGUUCAAAAUCUCCUUUUAUUUUUUUGUGUCCUUUUUUCUUCUUUUUUUGCCCAUUUUUUGUUCCGUUUUUCUUUUCCAUCCCGUUCUGAGAAUCGACUUUCAUUGACUUUGGCAUCGUGGGGGGGGGGGCGG